rnacentral:rRNA from 1 species
UAUCUCUGUAGAGUCUGCAUAUCAAUAAGCGGAGGAAAAGAAACUAACUAGGAUUCCCUCAGUAACGGCGAGUGAAGCGGGAAGAGCUCAAAUUUGAAAUCUUCAAGGUUCUACCUUGACGAAUUGUAGUUUAAAGAAGUGUUUUCUGUCGGAGUUUUGGUAAAAGUUCUUUGGAAUAGGACAUCAUAGAGGGUGAGAAUCCCGUAUUUGACCAUUAUUUCCAACUUUGUGAUACACUUUCAAAGAGUCGGAUUGUUUGGGAAUGCAGUCCAAAAUGGGUGGUAAAUUUCAUCUAAAGCUAAAUACUGGCGAGAGACCGAUAGCGAACAAGUACCGUGAGGGAAAGAUGAAAAGAACUUUGAAAAGAGAGUUAAACAGUACGUGAAAUUGUCAAAAGGGAAGCGUUUGACACCAGUGUUGUUUUCUCGAAAAUCAAUUAAAAAUGGCGGGAUUUUGUGUUGUAUUGACCUUAUAAGCUUUCUGCACUCUUUUUCCUUGUCUUUUUUAAUGCACUUUUCGUUUAACAAGUCAACAUCAAUUUCUUUUGUUGUAAAGGAGUCAUUGGAAGGUGGCUUUCUUUUCGGAGAAAGUGUUUAUAGCCUUUGACUUCUGCAAUCGGAGAGAUUGAGGUCUGCAGCGUAGAUCCUUCGGGGUUAGAUGCAUUUGUGCUAAGCUAUAGCCUUUCAUAGACAACUUGUUGACUAUGAUCAGUCAUAGUAGCUUACUCGCUUAUGUCAUUUUACCUACGCUUAGGAUGUUGAGUAGCGACAUACGCAC